rnacentral:rRNA from 1 species
AACGAACGCUGGCGGCAUGCCUAACACAUGCAAGUCGAACGAGACCUUCGGGUCUAGUGGCGCACGGGUGCGUAACGCGUGGGAACCUGCCCUUAGGUUCGGAAUAACUCCCCGAAAGGGGUGCUAAUACCGGAUAAUGUCUUCGGACCAAAGAUUUAUCGCCUUUGGAUGGGCCCGCGUUGGAUUAGCCAGUUGGUAGGGUAAAAGCCUACCAAGGCGACGAUCCAUAGCUGGUCUGGGAGGCGGAUCAGCCACACUGGGACUGCGACACGGCCCAGACUCCUACGGAGGGGAGCAGUGGAGUAUAUAAGACGCGGGGCGAUGGCCUGAUCCAGCAAUGCCGCGUGAGUGGUGAAGGCCUUAGGAUUGUAAAGCUCUUUUAGCCGGGAUGAUAAUGACGGUACCGGGAGAAUAAGCACCGGCUAACUCCGUG